UACAGAGGUCUCAAGCGUUGUUCGGAUUCAUUGGGCGUAAAGGGUGUGUAGGUGGCGCCGUAAGUCGGGUGUGAAAUUUCGGAGCUUAACUCCGAAACUGCAUUCGAUACUGCGGUGCUUGAGGACUGGAGAGGAGACUGGAAUUUCAUGGUGUAGCAGUGAAAUGCGUAGAUAUCGUAAGGAAGACCAGUGGCGAAGGCGGGUCUCUGGACAGUUCCUGACGCUGAGGCAACGAAGGCCCAGGGGGAGCAAAACGGGG
rnacentral:rRNA from 1 species